rnacentral:rRNA from 1 species
CCCUUUGUGAACAUACCUACAACUGUUGCUUCGGCGGGUAGGGUCCCCGUGACCCUCCCGGCCUCCCGCCCCCCCGGGCGGGUCGGCGCCCGCCGGAGGAUAACCAAACUCUGAUUUAACGACGUUUCUUCUGAGUGGUACAAGCAAAUAAUCAAAACUUUUAACAACGGAUCUCUUGGUUCUGGCAUCGAUGAAGAACGCAGCGAAAUGCGAUAAGUAAUGUGAAUUGCAGAAUUCAGUGAAUCAUCGAAUCUUUGAACGCACAUUGCGCCCGCCAGCAUUCUGGCGGGCAUGCCUGUUCGAGCGUCAUUUCAACCCUCAAGCCCUGCUUGGUGUUGGGGCCCUACAGCUGAUGUAGGCCCUCAAAGGUAGUGGCGGACCCUCCCGGAGCCUCCUUUGCGUAGUAACUUUACGUCUCGCACUGGGAUCCGGAGGGACUCUUGCCGUAAAACCCCCCAAUUUUCCAAAGGUUGACCUCGGAUCAGGUAGGAAUACCCGCUGAACUUAAGCAUAUCAAAARGSCGGGAAGGAAA